GCCAAAAACUAGCCUGCACAACACACCAUAAAUCACUUCACACAAACUAAACCAUUUACCAAAUCCAGUAUAUGAGAUAGAACUUUAAACACAGCGCAAUAGCCCAAAUCGUACCACAAGGGAACCAUGAAAGACUAAUUAAUAACCACAAGCACAGCACAGCAGGGCUAAAGCCCCGUACCUCCUGCAUCAUGGUUUAGCCAGCAGCUCGCCGACAAAGUGCCCUGUGUCCGCCACCCCGA
rnacentral:rRNA from 2 species